CACCCCACUCAGACACCUCACACCCCACUCAGUCACCUCACACUCCACUCAGUCACCUCACACCCCACUCAGACACCUCACACCCCACUCAGUCACCUCAUACCCCACUCAGGCACCUCACACUCCACUCAGUCACCUCACACCCCACUCAGACACCUCACACCCCACUCAGACACCUCACAUCCCCACUCAGACACCUCACACCCCACUCAGUCACCUCAUACCCCACUCAGGCACCUCACACCCCACUCAGUCACCUCACACCCCACUCAGGCACCUCACACCCCACUCAGACACCUCACAUCCCCACUCAGUCACCUCACACCCCACUCAGGCACCUCACACCCCACUCAGACACCUCACAUCCCCACUCAGUCACCUCACACUCCACUCAGUCACCUCACACCCCACUCAGACACCUCACACCCCACUCAGUCACCUCACACUCCACUCAGUCACCUCACACCCCACUCAGGCACCUCACACCCCACUCAGUCACCUCACACCCCACUCAGACACCUCACACCCCACUCAGUCACCUCACACCCCACUCAGACACCUCACACCCCACUCAGGCACCUCACAUCCCACUCAGUCACCUCACACUCCACUCAGUCACCUCACACUCCACUCAGUCACCUCACACCCCACUCAGUCACCUCACACCCCACUCAGUCACCUCACACCCCACUCAGUCACCUCACACCCCACUCAGACACCUCACACCCCACUCAGGCACCUCACAUCCCACUCAGUCACCUCACACUCCACUCAGUCACCUCACACCCCACUCAGUCACCUCAUACCCCACUCAGUCACCUCACACCCCACUCAGUCACCUCACACCCCACUCAGUCACCUCACACCCCACUCAGACACCUCACACCCCACUCAGUCACCUCACACCCCACUCAGUCACCUCACACUCCACUCAGUCACCUCACACCCCACUCAGACACCUCACACCCCACUCAGGCACCUCACACCCCACUCAGACACCUCACACCCCACUCAGACACCUCACAUCCCACUCAGUCACCUCACACUGACAGCUCAGCCUAGGUCCCUGAACAUCCUGGCCCUGUGGAGCGAGUCCCGGGACUCACUCAACGAUUGAGGGAAUCUGGGGUCUGGUUUGUGGAGGUCUUGAUAAAAUUUUCUGUCUUUAAAGCCCCAUCUGUCGGGCGCUGGUGGUACACGCCUUUAAUCCCAGCAUUCGGGAGGCAGAGGCAGGCAGAUCUCCGUGAGUUCAAGGCCAGCCUGGUCUCCAGAGCAAGUGCCAGGAUAGGCUCCAAAGCUACACAGAGAAACCCUGUCUCGAAAAACCAAAAUAAAUAAAUAAAAUAAAUAAAUAAAUAAAUAAAC
rnacentral:lncRNA from 1 species